CCUACGGGUGGCUGCAGUGGGGAAUAUUGGGCAAUGGGGGAAACCCUGACCCAGCAACGCCGCGUGAGUGAAGAAGGAUUUCGGUUUGUAAAGCUCUAUCAGCAGGGAAGAGCAUGACAGUGUCUGACUAAAAUACCCCAGCUAUCUACGUGCCAGCAGCCGCGGUAAUACGGAGGGGGCAAGCGCUCUCCGGAUUUACUGGGUGUAAAGGGGGCGUGGCCGGGAGGGCAAGUCAGAUGUGAAAUCCCGGGGCUCAACCGCGGGACUGCUUUUGAAACUGUGUUGCUCGAGGACAGGAGAGGUAAUCGGAAUUCCUAGUGUAGCGGUGAAAUGCGUAGAUAUAAGGAGGAACACCAGUGGCGAAGGCGGCUGACUGGACGGUAACUGACGUUGAGGCGCGAAAGCGUGGGGAGCAAACAGGAUUAGAUACCCGGGUAGUC
rnacentral:rRNA from 1 species